UCUCGUUAGUGUAAAAGUUAACUCAAAUUUGUAUGGAGUUGAAACGUUUGCUGUUAGGGGCGCUGUUCCAACUACAUUCAAAUUUGAGUUAACUUUUACGCUAUCGA
rnacentral:pre_miRNA from 9 species